GCCGAGAUGGCCGAGUGGUCUAAGGCGCACUUCAUGCGUCUUCCACCGGUCGACCGACGGGGGUUCGAGUCCCACCCGAGGCA